UGGACAAUGGGCGCAAGCCUGAUCCAGCCAUCCCGCGUGAAGGAUUAAGGUCCUAUGGAUUGUAAACUUCUUUUCUCUGGGAAUAAAAACCGGUAUUUAUACUGGCUUGAAGGUACCAGAGGAAUAAGCACCGGCUAACUCCGUGCCAGCAGCCGCGGUAAUACGGAGGGUGCAAGCGUUAUCCGGAUUCACUGGGGUUAAAGGGUGCGUAGGUGGCUUUGUAAGUCAGUGGUGAAAGCCCGGAGCUUAACUCCGGAACUGCCAUUGAUACUGCUUAGCUUGAAUCAACUUGAGGUGGAUGGAAUAUUACAUGUAGCGGUGAAAUGCUUAGAUAUGUAAUAGAACACCGAUUGCGAAGGCAGUUCACUAAGGUUGUAUUGACACUGAGGCACGAAAGCGUGGGGAUCAAACA
rnacentral:rRNA from 1 species